GUAAUGAAUAGAAAAGCGACAGUUUUACAUUUACAUAAAGAAUUUAAACGACGAUCAUCAUCUGUUUAUGUGUCCUUGAGAUCAUUUAGAACCAAUAUUGUUCAGCAUUAUUGGAGAUGGCGGAAGCUUUGACGGACGAACACACAAUUGAAAUGUGGUUUGUGACGUCAAGAUUAUUGAAAUUCGAGAGUGGGCACUUUUGAUACCAAAAUAACAAUG
ensembl:ncRNA F57B7.14 ncRNA